rnacentral:lncRNA from 1 species
UUAUAUGAUUAUUAUAAUUAUUUUUGGUAUGAUAAUAUAAAUGAUAUUGUAACUUAAAAAGUAUGUUAAAUUGUAUAAUUUGUAUGUUACAUUUUAUGUAGAAGUUAGGAUAUGCCGAGACCAGUUCAAGAUCCUCUAUAAAAAUUAUAUUAAGUUGUAAUAUCGGGAUUCACUUAUAAAUCCAAUGUCAAAUUUAUUUGAUCAAUUGGUAUCUAAAUAAGUGUUAAAGAUGAUUUUCUAAUUAGGUCCGUAUGCUGGCCUGACCAACUUUGUUGGUGUCUAAGAAAAACUAUGGGAGCCUCCCACCUACUGACCUGAC